rnacentral:rRNA from 1 species
CCAGACUCCUACGGGAGGCAGCAGUGGGGGAUAUUGCACAAUGGGGGGAACCCUGAUGCAGCGACGCCGCGUGGGUGAAGAAGCGCCUCGGCGCGUAAAGCCCUGUCAGCAGGGAAGAAAAUGACGGUACCCGAAGAAGAAGCCCCGGCUAACUACGUGCCAGCAGCCGCGGUAAUACGUAGGGGGCAAGCGUUAUCCGGAUUUACUGGGUGUAAAGGGGGCGCAGACGGCGAUGCAAGCCAGGAGUGAAAGCCCGGGGCCCAACCCCGGGACUGCUCUUGGAACUGCGUGGCUGGAGUGCGGGAGGGGCAGGCGGAAUUCCUGGUGUAGCGGUGAAAUGCGUAGAUAUCAGGAGGAACACCGGUGGCGAAGGCGGCCUGCUGGACUGCAACUGACGUUGAGGCCCGAAAGCGUGGGGAGCAAACAGGAUUAGAUACCCGCGUA